UACUAAGCAUGCAGCUGAAAACCCUGG
rnacentral:piRNA from 1 species